AUGCAUAUUUUUAUUGACUAUUUACAUGAAAAGAGAAAUCAAGAAUUCCCGAAAUCAUGCUCUCAGAAACCUAAACACAAACUGAAAAACCACAGUCAGCAAACACAAGUUGAGCUACUGGAUACUUAUCAAUGCAAUCUUCACAGCGAGAAUUCCAAUUUCUUUUGUUUCCGUCCCGCCGAUCACCUCAAAGCACCAAACACGACGGAUUCUGCUUCAGAUCUUGCGGCAAAGAUUGAAGGUCGGGGAGGAGUGCAGUGCAUGGCUUCGUCGCCGAGACCAGAUCGAAGAAGAAUCUUGCGCUGGAAAUCUUUUCAUCAAUACAAACCUAAAUCCAAAAGAAGUCGCCGGUGA